rnacentral:misc_RNA from 1 species
GAUGAAGAACGUAGCGAAAUGCGAUACGUAAUGUGAAUUGCAGAAUUCAGUGAAUCAUCGAGUCUUUGAACGCACAUUGCGCCCCCUGGUAUUCCGGGGGGCAUGCCUGUCCGAGCGUCAUUACUGCCCUCAAGCCCGGCUUGUGUGUUGGGCCCCGUCCUCCGAUCCCGGGGGACGGGCCCGAAAGGCAGCGGCGGCACCGCGUCCGGUCCUCGAGCGUAUGGGGCUUUGUCACCCGCUCUGUAGGCCCGGCCGGCGCUUGCCGAUCAACCCCAAUUUUUAUAGGUUGACCUCGGAUCAGGUAGGGAUACCCGCUGAACUUAAGCAUAUCAAUAAGCGGAGGA